UACGUAGGGGGCAAGCGUUGUCCGGAAUCAUUGGGCGUAAAGAGCGUGUAGGCGGCCCGAUAAGUCCGCCGUGAAAGUCCAGGGCUCAACCCUGGAAUGCCGGUGGAAACUGUCGGGCUGGAGUCCGGAAGAGGCGAGUGGAAUUCCUGGUGUAGCGGUGAAAUGCGCAGAUAUCAGGAAGAACACCGACGGCGAAGGCAGCUCGCUGGGACGGUACUGACGCUGAGGCGCGAAAGCGUGGGGAGCGAACAGG
rnacentral:rRNA from 1 species